rnacentral:rRNA from 1 species
AGUGAACGCUGGCGGUAGGCCUAACACAUGCAAGUCGAACGAGUGGAGGACGGGUGAGGAAUACAUCGGAAUCUACUCUGUCGUGGGGGAUAACGUGGGGAAACUUACGCUAAUACCGCAUACGAUUAAAUGAUCCGAUGUCGGAUUGGCUAGUUGGCGGGGGAAAGGUCCACCAAGGCGACGAUCCGUAGCUGGUCGGAGAGGCUGAUCAGCCACACUGGAACUGAGACACGGUCCAGACUCCUACGGGAGGCAGCAGUGGGGAAUAUUGGACAAUGGGCGCAAGCCUGAUCCAGCCAUACCGCGUGGGGGAAGAAGGCCUUCGGGUUGUAAAGCCCGUUUGUUGGUAAAGCGGUACCCAAAGAAUAAGCACCGGCUAACUUCGUGCCAGCAGCCGCGGUAAUAC